AAUGACAACCUGUGCCUCUGGGACUCAGCUGCAAGGAAGACAAGUGGAAGGCAAGUGGACAUGUUUUUCUGUGUAUCCCAAAACAGGUAGCAGUGUCCUUGCAGCGCACUGGAUGGAUGGAUGAAGGCACUCUCCCAGGCUUCCAACUCUUGAACACCUGAGUGACCAUCAGGAGCCCACACAUCCUCAACAGAUCACACUGCUGCUUGGCCACUGCUCUCCACCCUCUUCUGAGGCUGCUGCUUAUACCACAGUGUUGAUGGCCUCCUCUCUGCUCCCCAGAGCAGAUGCUCCCACCAACACUGCUGCUCUUGGGCAUCAGAUAGGUUCUGUGAGCUUCACCAUUGUCAGAAGGCCCAGAUGGCUCCGGGAGGUCCCAUGGAUGCUCAGCCCAAACCAGGUUUUGAGUCUUUAUUUCGGUUGUAGCU